UUCAUUCCUAUUCGGUCUUUUUCAGGACAAACAACGAGUUAAUUUUGCUGAAACAUAGCGCUAUAUAACAGUGGUCAUCGCUAUGUAGCUAGGCGCUACAAACUGACUCUAUGCAAACAAACACAAGUAGGGGAUGGAACCUGCUGGACGGAAAAGACGCUUAGGCAACACGAUGGUUAUGAUAUCGAUGAUAGUAAACCAAAGAAAAGCGGAUACUGAUUUGACGUUAAGCAACUACGCUUCGUCACGCAUGUAGCAGCGGUAUGCGACUGGCAUUUAACUUUACAAGUGUAAGGACGACAAAGGUAAACAAAAGGCCGAAGAACAGGUGAUCCAUUGAUACGGACAACGGAUACGCGGACACACAAUACAAGAUAU